rnacentral:rRNA from 1 species
UACGUAGGGCGCAAGCGUUGUCCGGAAUUAUUGGGCGUAAAGAGCUCGUAGGCGGCCUGUUACGUCUGCUGUGAAAUCCCGGGGCUUAACCCCGGGCGUGCAGUGGAUACGGGCAGGCUGGAGGCAGGCAGGGGAGAACGGAAUUCCCGGUGUAGCGGUGAAAUGCGCAGAUAUCGGGAGGAACACUGGUGGCGAAGGCGGUUCUCUGGGCCUGUACUGACGCUGAGGAGCGAAAGCGUGGGGAGGGAACAGG